GACGAACGCUGGCGGCGUGCUUAACACAUGCAAGUCGAACGGUGAAGCGCCUUCCUUUUUGGUGGGUGUGGAUGAGUGGCGAACGGGUGAGUAACACGUGAGUAACCUGCCCCCUUCUUCUGGAUAACCGCAUGAAAGUGUGGCUAAUACGGGAUAUUCUGGGUCUGUCGCAUGAUGGGUCUGGGAAAGAUAUUGUUUCGGUGGGGGAUGGGCUCGCGGCCUAUCAGCUUGUUGGUGGGGUGAUGGCCUACCAAGGCGGUGACGGGUAGCCGGCCUGAGAGGGUGGACGGUCACGCUGGGACUGAGACACGGCCCAGACUCCUACGGGAGGCAGCAGUGGGGAAUAUUGCACAAUGGGCGCAAGCCUGAUGCAGCGACGCCGCGUGAGGGAUGGAGGCCUUCGGGUUGUGAACCUCUUUCGCCAGUGAAGCAGGCCUGCCUCGUUUGUGGGUGGGUUGACGGUAGCUGGAUAAGAAGCGCCGGCUAACUACGUG
rnacentral:rRNA from 1 species